GGACAGGCGAAGAAACGAAGAAACGGUAUGAUUGCGGUUUGAAAAGGUUUAUCAUUUUGAGUUUGCCACCAGCUGGAUGUGAUGAGCAAGCGGACUAGCAGACGGACCUGCCUCCCUAGGGACACAUUUGUGGGCCCUUCAGGGAUUCUGAUGAAGAAAACUGAUGUUAGCACUUCUGAACCUUGCAGACUUUCUUCUUCUUCUUCUUCUCCAACCAACUCCUCAUACCAGAACGUUUCUGAGUUUUCCCACCGUGAA